UACAGAGGGUGCGAGCGUUGUUCGGAAUUACUGGGCGUAAAGCGCGCGCAGGCGGUCCUUUAAGUCUACCCGUGAAAUGCCGGAGCUCAACUCCGUGCACGCCGGGGGAUACUGGAGGACUGGAGACGAGUAGAGGCAAGCGGAGUUCCGGGUGUAGCGGUGGAAUGCGUAGAGAUCCGGAAGAACACCGGGAGGCGAAGGCGGCUUGCUGGGGCUUGGUCGUGACGUGGAGG
rnacentral:rRNA from 1 species